rnacentral:rRNA from 1 species
GACAGAGGUGCCGAGCGUUAGGCGGAAUCACUGGGCUUAAAGCGUGUGUAGGCGGGUCGUUAAGUGUCUUGUGAAAUCCCACCGCUCAACGGUGGAACCGCUGGGCAUACUGGCGAUCUUGAGCAGUCCAGGGGCGAGCGGAACAAGCGGUGGAGCGGUGAAAUGCGUAGAUAUCGAGAGGAACACCUGCGGCGAAGGCGGGUUGCUGGGCCGACACUGACGCUGAUGCGCGAAAGCCAGGGGAGCGAACGGG